rnacentral:rRNA from 1 species
CAAGUCGAACGAUANNUUCCAGCUUGCUGGANGNAAAAGUGGCGCACGGGUGCGUAACGCGUAUGCAACCUACCUUAAUCAGGGGGAUAGCCCGGAGAAAUCCGGAUUAACACCGCAUAAAAACACAGGAUAGCAUUAUCCAAUGUUCAAAUAUUUAUAGGAUUAAGAUGGGCAUGCGUGUCAUUAGCUAGUUGGCGGGGUAACGGCCCACCAAGGCGACGAUGACUAGGGGAUCUGAGAGGAUGACCCCCCACACUGGUACUGAGACACGGACCAGACUCCUACGGGAGGCAGCAGUAAGGAAUAUUGGUCAAUGGAGGCAACUCUGAACCAGCCAUGCCGCGUGCAGGAAGACUGCCCUAUGGGUUGUAAACUGCUUUUAUCCGGGAAUAAACCUCNNUACGNGUANNGAGCUGAAUGUACCGGAAGAAUAAGGAUCGGCUAACUCCGUGCCAGCAGCCGCGGUAAUACGGAGGAUCCAAGCGUUAUCCGGAUUUAUUGGGUUUAAAGGGUGCGUAGGCGGCCUGUUAAGUCAGGGGUGAAAGACGGUAGCUCAACUAUCGCAGUGCCCUUGAUACUGAUGGGCUUGAAUGGACUAGAGGUAGGCGGAAUGAGACAAGUAGCGGUGAAAUGCAUAGAUAUGUCUCAGAACACCGAUUGCGAAGGCAGCUUACUAUGGUCUUAUUGACGCUGAGGCACGAAAGCGUGGGGAUCAAACAGGAUUAGAUACCCUGGUAGUCCACGCCCUAAACGAUGAACACUCGCUGUUGGCGAUACACAGUCAGCGGCUAAGCGAAAGCGUUAAGUGUUCCACCUGGGGAGUACGGUCGCAAGAUUGAAACUCAAAGGAAUUGACGGGGGCCCGCACAAGCGGAGGAGCAUGUGGUUUAAUUCGAUGAUACGCGAGGAACCUUACCCGGGCUUGAAAGUUAGUGAAUGAUUUAGAGAUAGAUCAGUCCGCAAGGACACGAAACUAGGUGCUGCAUGGCUGUCGUCAGCUCGUGCCGUGAGGUGUUGGGUUAAGUCCCGCAACGAGCGCAACCCCUAUGUUUAGUUGCCAGCACGUAAUGGUGGGGACUCUAAACAGACUGCCUGUGCAAACAGAGAGGAAGGAGGGGACGACGUCAAGUCAUCAUGGCCCUUACGUCCGGGGCUACACACGUGCUACAAUGGAUGGUACAGAGGGCAGCUACAUAGCAAUAUGAUGCGAAUCUCACAAAGCCAUUCACAGUUCGGAUUGGGGUCUGCAACUCGACCCCAUGAAGUUGGAUUCGCUAGUAAUCGCGUAUCA